UUUGCGUGUGCUAUGACUUAAGCUCGUUUUAAAAUGGAGAUCUCCUCUCAUUUCAGACUAUUUUAGAAAAUCUGGAUCUUUCUGUGCCAUUUCAAAUCAGCGUUCAGACUGUUGGUUCUUCUGGUUUGGUUUCUGAGAAGAUGAAUGUUCAAUAUAGUUGUCCUUUAAUGAAAAAGGAAACUUCAUCAUUUGCCUCUAGUGAUUUCCCUGAAGACGAAAAGCCUGAUGCCAGCUCCCAUGAGGUGAAUGGAAGGCAAGGUUUAGCUCCAUUGUCUUCCUUGAAGAAAUUAAUUUUGGAUGACCAAAGAAACUAAAGAAAAUACAGUGAAGGUACAGCACCCAAGGGAAGAAUGAAUCAAACGUAAAGAAAAAGCAAUGAAGUGCUGAAGGUAUCACAAAGGGUGUAUCUAGCCUGGCAGCUUCCACAGCUGCUUCACUAAGGAAAAAGCUGAGCAGCAACAAUGACUUACUGACCCUCAUCCUUCACUGGAAGUUGCUGAUGCAAACCAGUCAAAUAUAGAUGUUUUACAGAAUCUUAAUAUUUUAAUGCAUUUUUAGGAAAUUCUCAUGUUUUGCUCUAUUCCCAACCAUUGCAUGCCUAUAUAUGUGGUUAUAGGGAGCUUGCAUAUAUGAGGGUCACCGGGGACCUCAAUCCUACUGGCUUUUAUGGGAGUUCAGGGUGCAUAGCACCUCUCAGGAUACAGCAGUAGAUGGACUCAUUUUUCAAGGUGCCGAUUGCCUUCAACAUCCACUGGAGUAAGUGUCAUACUCAUCCCAGAUCUAUAGGCACUCAGAAGUGGGAAGGAUUGUGCCCUAUGGCCUUAUUUCAGUAAAGCACACGAGCACAUACUUACCUUCAACCCUGUGAGUAAUCCCUUUGAACUUUA
rnacentral:lncRNA from 1 species